rnacentral:rRNA from 1 species
AUUGAACGCUGGCGGCAUGCCUUACACAUGCAAGUCGAACGGCAGCACGGACUUCGGUCUGGUGGCGAGUGGCGAACGGGUGAGUAAUGUACCGGAACGUACCAUUGAGUGGGGGAUAACGUAGCGAAAGUUACGCUAAUACCGCAUAUUCUCUCCGGAGGAAAGCAGGGGACCGCAAGGCCUUGCGCUCUUUGAGCGGCCGAUAUCAGAUUAGCUAGUUGGUGGGGUAAAAGCCCACCAAGGCGACGAUCUGUAGCGGGUCUGAGAGGAUGAUCCGCCACACUGGAACUGAGACACGGUCCAGACUCCUACGGGAGGCAGCAGUGGGGAAUUUUGGACAAUGGGGGCAACCCUGAUCCAGCCAUGCCGCGUGAGUGAAGAAGGCCUUCGGGUUGUAAAGCUCUUUCGGCCGGGAAAAAAUCGCAUGGAUUAAUACUCUGUGUGGAUGAUGGUACCGGAAUAAGAAGCACCGGCUAACUACGUGCCAGCAGCCGCGGUAAGAC